CAGCAAUGCCGCGUGUGUGAAGAAGGCCUUCGGGUUGUAAAGCACUUUUGUCCGGAAAGAAAUCGCGCUGGUUAAUACCUGGCGUGGAUGACGGUACCGGAAGAAUAAGCACCGGCUAACUACGUGCCAGCAGCCGCGGUAAUACGUAGGGUGCGAGCGUUAAUCGGAAUUACUGGGCGUAAAGCGUGCGCAGGCGGUUUGAUAAGACAGGCGUGAAAUCCCCGAGCUCAACUUGGGAAUGGCGCUUGUGACUGUCAGGCUAGAGUAUGUCAGAGGGGGGUAGAAUUCCACGUGUAGCAGUGAAAUGCGUAGAGAUGUGGAGGAAUACCGAUGGCGAAGGCAGCCCCCUGGGACGUCACUGACGCUCAUGCACGAAAGCGUGGGGAGCAAACAGGAUUAGAUACCCUGGUAGUCCACGCCCUAAACGAUGUCAACUAGUUGUUGGGGAUUCAUUUCU
rnacentral:rRNA from 1 species